UAACACAUGCAAGUCGAACGCGAACGGAAUCUUCGGAUUCCAAGUAGAGUGGCGCACGGGUGAGUAACACGUGGAUAACCUGCCCUAGAGUCUGGGAUAACACUUCGAAAGAGGUGCUAAUACCGGAUAAGCCCACGCCUUCUUCGGAAGAAGUGGGAAAAGAUUUAUUGCUCUAGGAUGGGUCCGCGGUCCAUUAGCUAGUUGGUGGGGUAAUGGCCUACCAAGGCUGCGAUGGAUAGCUGGUCUGAGAGGAUGAUCAGCCACACUGGAACUGAGACACGGUCCAGACUCCUACGGGAGGCAGCAGUGGGGAAUUUUGCGCAAUGGGGGAAACCCUGACGCAGCAAUACCGCGUGAAGGAUGAAGGCCUUUGGGUCGUAAACUUCUGUCAGAGGGGAAGAAAUACUCGCAAGAGUGCUGACGGUACCCUCAAAGGAAGCACCGGCUAACUCCGUGCCAGCAGCCGCGGUAAUACGGAGGGUGCAAGCGUUGUUCGGAAUUAUUGGG
rnacentral:rRNA from 1 species